AGAGAGGCGGUUUCAUAAUUUAUUUGAAAAAAUUAGGCGUCAGUUACUGGAAAAAAGGAAUUGAAAAGCUCCCCGAGAAGGGAAAAACUUCGCGAAACUGCCCCCAAACUAGCAUUUUUUUUCCCUGUUUCAAUAAUCUUACCGUUGGUAUAAAACCAAAAAACUAAAGGGUGUAUCAAAGGGCGUAUACCCUUUGGGUGUAUCAUCGGCACCCAAACAAAAUGGUCGCAAGAAUCUGGGUCGAGAGCAAAGUCCGCUUUACGAUCGAUUACACGGGCGUCGCGCGUGAGGAGUGAUCGUGACUCGUGAGGGGUGGCCUUCCGGUUCCAUAGUUGAUCGAAACCCAACAGAAAAAGGUCACGUAACAGUUCUCCGAUCUUUAGACGGCCAAGUCUCACAAGUGAUACUGAACAGCUAAAUGCAAACAGCAUCAGAAGUUUCAGGAUAGCCAAACAGACGUUUCAUACCUCAGGCCUACAGAACUAGAAGCUUGGCAAUCGUUUAACAAACAAGAUGAAAACGUCGACGUUCCUUUUAGUCUUGUUGGCUAUAAUUUUCGCGUCUUGUGCAAGAAUGUUUUCUAUGGGGUUACCAAUUGGCCUGACAAUGGUUCGAUCUCCCAUUAGGACGCGGAGUGACUCAGGAUCACAAACAAAUCAAGUUUCUUCAGAGAAUGUCAGACCUUGCGUAGACGAAGCCGAUAAGUAUUCAUGCUUUUAUGAUAUUGUCAUGCUUGAUGCGUGUGAAAAACAAGUCGCCAGGAUGGAGAAGUCAUGCAGAUUUUCGUGCAACUUUUGCUAAGAAAUCAGACAGAAUUGAUGUUUGACCGCUUGGCUGAAGAAAACUUUGACUGGAAUCUCUCGACUGAUCAUAAUUUAUUAAUUUCUAUUACAUUGCUGUUUCAGUUUAUGCAUAUUAUUUCGCAGAGAGCGUAACAACGCAACAUGUAAAUUAAAUAUGUAAAUGUUAUAAAUUAAAUUAUAUUAAAAGAGAGAAUGGAGUCCAUUAUUAUUUAUUGCACUGUGGAGUUUGAAACUGUUUCAUUGCCCGUUACUCUCUGUUUCCAACUUCUUUAUGUCAGUUGGCCCUAUUUCAAGGAAGAAAAAAUGGGCGUGAAAGUGAAUUUCUUUAUGCAGACCUUUAGCAAUUAGCUCGGAUAAUGUAAUUUAAAACGAGUUGGGAUUUAGUAUUUUAUGCUGCGUGCUCUGUCCAGCUACACACCUGUCCCAACAGCCACCUCCCCUCACCUUCCUCCAGGCCCUCCCUAAACCUAACCCCACGGUGAUACGAUAAGCAACAACGUCUUUUAUUCAAAGAGUAGACUGCAAGGCUGAUACUACGUGAAAAACGUUUCGAGACACCAAUAUGUCA